CUGGGAAACUGGGGAUAAUACUGGAUAUUAGGCUAUGCCUGGAAUGGUUUGCCUUUGAAAUGUUUUUUUCGCCUAAGGAUAGAUCUGCGGCUGAUUAGGUCGUUGGUGGGGUAAUGGCCCACCAAGCCGAUGAUCGGUACGGGUUGUGAGAGCAAGAGCCCGGAGAUGGAACCUGAGACAAGGUUCCAGACCCUACGGGGUGCAGCAGGCGCGAAACCUCCGCAAUGUACGAAAGUGCGACGGGGGGAUCCCAAGUGUUAUGCUUUUUUGUAUAACUUUUCAUUAGUGUAAAAAGCUUUUAGAAUAAGAGCUGGGCAAGACCGGUGCCAGCCGCCGCGGUAACACCGGCAGCUCGAGUG
rnacentral:rRNA from 1 species